rnacentral:rRNA from 1 species
GAUGAACGCUGGCGGCGUGCCUAAUACAUGCAAGUCGAGCGGACGGACGAGAAGCUUGCUUUUCUGAUGUUAGCGGCGGACGGGUGAGUAACACGUGGAUAACCUACCUAUAAGACUGGGAUAACUUCGGGAAACCGGAACUAAUACCGGAUAAUAUUUUGAACCGCAUGGUUCAAAAGUGAAAGACGGUCUUGCUGUCACCUAUAGAUGGAUCCGCGCUGCAUUAGCUAGUUGGUAAGGUAACGGCUUACCAAGGCAACGAUGCAUAGCCGACCUGAGAGGGUGAUCGGCCACACUGGAACUGAGACACGGUCCAGACUCCUACGGGAGGCAGCAGUAGGGAAUCUUCCGCAAUGGGCGAAAGCCUGACGGAGCAACGCCGCGUGAGUGAUGAAGGUCUUCGGAUCGUAAAACUCUGUUAUUAGGGAAGAACAUAUGUGUAAGUAACUGUGCACAUCUUGACGGUACCUAAUCAGAAAGCCACGGCUAACUACGUG